AGGGAACGCUGGCGGGAGGCCUAACACAUGCAAGUCGAACGGCAGCACAGGGAGUGCUUGCGCUUACGGGUGGCGAGUGGCGGACGGGUGCGGAAUACAUCGGAAUCUACUUUUUCGUGGAGGAUAACGUAGGGAAACUUACGCGAAUACCGCAUACGACCCACGGGUGAAAGCAGGGGAUCUUUGGACCUUGCGGGAUUGAAAGAGCCGAUGUCGGAUUAGCUAGAUGGCGGGGUAGAGGCCCACCAAGGCCACGAUCGGUAGCUGGUCUGAGAGGAUGUACACCCACACUGUAACUGAGACACGGUCCACACUCUUGCGGGAGGCAGCAGUGCAGAAUAUUACACAAUGGAGGAAAGCCUAAUACUGCCAUACCGCGUAGGUGAAGAAGGCCUUCGGCUUGUAAAGCCCUUUUGUUGGGAAAGAAAAACAGCACUUUAACACCCCGCUGUUCUGACGGUACCCAAAGAAUAAGCACCGGCUAACUCCGUG
rnacentral:rRNA from 1 species